GGAGUUAUGGGUCAGGAACUUGUCUAACUGCUGUACCAACAGAACAAAAGACAAGUCCUUCCAGUCAAGUGUUUCUAACACCCAAGAUUCCCAUAUUCAUUUUCCAUAUUCACGGAUUCCAGUAAGGGAUUGAUGAAUUGUCUAAAAGCUAUUUACAGGGAAACACCUAUGUUUGAAUGUAUCUGGUGAAUUUGAAAGCAUUUAGAAUUUCUCACAUUCUGGAACACAACAGACAACUCAAUUGAGGUUAUCGUUGGGAAGCCUGCGGGGAGCUCUUAUACAGUUUGCAUCUAAAGACACACACGAUCAGCAAAAUCUUUUUAGUUUUACUGUUCUUAUUGAUCUGCUGCUAUUCAGUGCUGCAGCUAAUUUGCUUGUUAGCAGUAAUUUAAAAAGGUA